GGAACUGAGAGGGAGAGAGGAGGAGGAGUCAUGAGGAAUGGUAGAAUGUAGUGGGGAGGGGUGGACCACUGAUCACACUGAUUGUUUCAAUCGUAAAGCUAAAAUGACACUCUUAUGGAUACGUGUGUGGGUGUGUGGAGUGAGCGUCCCCACCAACAAGCUAUUUGUCUAGGUUUAAAUAUCUCAAGCACCACUAGUGUGGUGCCAAGUGGUGCCAAUUUUUCACAUUGAGAAGCUAUUCACCGACAAACUGGUAUGUGUCUGGUUCCUUCCCCAGUGACGUGUUUUAUCAGCAGUUACUUUUACCCCUCUGAUCCAGCCCUGUGCGUGCGUGCAUGUGAGUGUGUAUGUGCGAGACAGCUGAGGAGAGGCAUGGCUGUUAAAUCACUUCACUGUCUGCUUUCUCUCCUCCAGAGUCCAGAGGGACCAGGGCCUUGGCUCUCCGCUGGAGGGCCAGGACGAUACCAGUAUCGGAAUCAUUUUUCCAAGCGUUACUGAUAUUGUCCAGGCCCUAAUUCCCUCACCCUUCCUUCCCCCUCCUCCCUUCCCCCUCAGUGCC
rnacentral:lncRNA from 13 species